rnacentral:rRNA from 1 species
CUGAGUACGGCGGAACACGUGAAAUUCCGUCGGAAUCCGGGAGGACCAUCUCCCAAGGCUAAAUACUCCCUAGUGACCGAUAGUGAACCAGUACCGUGAGGGAAAGGUGAAAAGCACCCCGGAAGGGGAGUGAAACAGUUCCUGAAACCGUGUGCCUACAAGUAGUUAGAGCCCGUUAAUGGGUGAUAGCGUGCCUUUUGUAGAAUGAACCGGCGAGUUACGAUUUGUUGCAAGGUUAAGCGGAAAAAGCGGAGCCGUAGCGAAAGCGAGUCUGAAUAGGGCGCAUAAGUAACAGGUCGUAGACCCGAAACCAGGUGAUCUACCCAUGUCCAGGAUGAAGGUAAGGUAAUACUUACUGGAGGUCCGAACCCACGCACGUUGAAAAGUGCGGGGAUGAGGUGUGGGUAGCGGAGAAAUUCCAAUCGAACUUGGAGAUAGCUGGUUCUCUCCGAAAUAGCUUUAGGGCUAGCCUCGAGGUAAAGAGUCAUGGAGGUAGAGCACUGUUUGGACUAGGGGCCCUUCUCGGGUUACCGAAUUCAGAUAAACUCCGAAUGCCAUGUACUUAUACUCGGGAGUCAGACUGCGAGUGAUAAGAUCCGUAGUCGAAAGGGAAACAGCCCAGACCACCAGUUAAGGUCCCCAAAUAUAUGUUAAGUGGAAAAGGAUGUGGGGUUGCUUAGACAACCAGGAUGUUGGCUUAGAAGCAGCCACCAUUGAAAGAGUGCGUAAUAGCUCACUGGUCGAGUGACCCCGCGCCGAAAAUGUACCGGGGCUAAACAUAUUACCGAAACUGUGGAUGAACCUCUUUAGAGGUUCGUGGUAGGAGAGCGUUCUAAGGGCGGUGAAGUCAGACCGGAAGGACUGGUGGAGCGCUUAGAAGUGAGAAUGCCGGUAUGAGUAGCGAAAGAAGGGUGAGAAUCCCUUCCACCGAAUAUCUAAGGUUUCCUGAGGAAGGCUCGUCCGCUCAGGGUUAGUCGGGACCUAAGCCGAGGCCGAUAGGCGUAGGCGAUGGACAACAGGUAGAGAUUCCUGUACCAGUGCUAAUUGUUUAACCGAUGGGGUGACACAGAAGGAUAGGGAAUCGCACGAAUGGAAAUGUGCGUCCAAGCAGUGAGUGUGAGAAGUAGGCAAAUCCGCUUCUCGCGAAGCAUGAGCUGUGAUGGGGAAGGAAAUUAAGUACGGAAGUUCCUGAUUUCACGCUGUCAAGAAAAGCCUCUAGGAAGAGUAGUACUGCCCGUACCGCAAACCGACACAGGUAGAUGAGGAGAGAAUCCUAAGGUGAGCGAGAGAACUCUCGUUAAGGAACUCGGCAAAAUGACCCCGUAACUUCGGGAGAAGGGGUGCUCUAUUAGGGUGCAAGCCCGAGAGAGCCGCAGUGAAUAGGCCCAGGCGACUGUUUAGCAAAAACACAGGUCUCUGCAAAACCGUAAGGUGACGUAUAGGGGCUGACGCCUGCCCGGUGCUGGAAGGUUAAGAGGAGUGCUUAGCUUCGGCGAAGGUACGAAUUGAAGCCCCAGUAAACGGCGGCCGUAACUAUAACGGUCCUAAGGUAGCGAAAUUCCUUGUCGGGUAAGUUCCGACCCGCACGAAAGGCGCAACGAUCUGGGCACUGUCUCAACGAGAGACUCGGUGAAAUUAUAGUACCUGUGAAGAUGCAGGUUACCCGCGACAGGACGGAAAGACCCCGUGGAGCUUUACUGCAACCUGAUAUGGAAUGUUUGUACCGCUUGUACAGGAUAGGUAGGAGCCGAAGAGACGUGUGCGCUAGCAUACGAGGAGGCAAUGGUGGGAUACUACCCUGGCUGUAUGACCAUUCUAACCCGCCACGCUUAGCGCGUGGGGAGACAGUGUCAGGUGGGCAGUUUGACUGGGGCGGUCGCCUCCUAAAGAGUAACGGAGGCGCCCAAAGGUUCCCUCAGAAUGGAUGGAAAUCAUUCGCAGAGUGUAAAGGCACAAGGGAGCUUGACUGCGAGACUGACAAGUCGAGCAGGGACGAAAGUCGGGCUUAGUGAUCCGGUGGUUCCGCAUGGAAGGGCCAUCGCUCAACGGAUAAAAGCUACCCCGGGGAUAACAGGCUUAUCUCCCCCAAGAGUCCACAUCGACGGGGAGGUUUGGCACCUCGAUGUCGGCUCGUCGCAUCCUGGGGCUGUAGUCGGUCCCAAGGGUUGGGCUGUUCGCC